rnacentral:tRNA from 1 species
ACGAUGGUGGAGGAUGCACUCUGCGCGGCUGAGGUUCGCGCGGUGGCUACUGCGGAGCCAACCCCGUACGGACGUGAGGUCAUCGUC